CGCUAUGUGCGCCGCUCAGCGCUCAGCGGCCGUCCUGGCGUUGGCGGCCCUGCAUUCAGUGUACGCCUUCUCUGCGCGCCCGCUGGCUGGCGGGGAGUCCGUGAACUUGGGCUCCUUGCGGGGCAAGGUGCUACUUAUUGAGAACGUGGCAUCGCUCUGAGGCACAACGGUCCGGGACUACACCCAGAUGAAUGACCUGCAGAGGCGCCUCGGGCCCCGGGGCCUGGUCGUGCUCGGCUUCCCGUGCAACCAGUUUGGGCAUCAGGAAAACACCAAGAACGAGGAGAUCCUGAAUUGCCUCAAGUACAUCCGACCAGGCGGCGGGUUCGAGCCUAACUUCAUGCUCUUCGAGAAGUGCGAGGUGAAUGGCGAGAAGGCGCAUCCGCUCUUCCCCUUCCUUCGCGAGGCUCUGCCCACGCCCAGUGACGACGCCACUGCCCUCGUGACGGACCCCAAGUUCAUCACCUGGUCUGCGGUGUGCCGCAACGACGUCGCCCGGAACUUCGAGAAGUUCCUGGUGGGCCCAGACGGUGUGCCUGUGCGCAGGUACAGCCGCCGCUUUCUGACCAUCGACAUCGAGCCUGACAUC